CCAGUAAGACUGGGAUAACUCCGGGAAACCGGGGCUAAUACCGGAUGCUUGUUUGAACCGCAUGGUUCAAACAUAACGGGUGGCUUCGGCUACCACUUACAGAUGGACCCGCGGCGCAUUAGCUAGUUGGUGAGCUAAUGGCUCACCAAGGCGACGAUGCGUAGCCGACCUGAGAGGGUGAUCGGCCACACUGGGACUGAGACAAGGCCCAGACUCCUACGGGAGGCAGCAGUAGGGAAUCUUCCGCAAUGGACGAAAGUCUGACGGAGCAACGCCGCGUGAGUGAUGAAGAUUUUCGGAUCGUAAAGCUCUGUUGUUAGGGAAGAACAAGUACCGUUCGAAUAGGGCGGUACCUUGACGGUACCUAACCAGAAAGCCACGGCUAACUACGUGCCAGCAGCCGCGGUAAUACGUAGGUGGCAAGCGUUGUCCGGAAUUAUUGGGCGUAAAGGGCUCGCAGGCGGUUUCUUAAGUCUGAUGUGAAAGCCCCCGGCUCAACCGGGGAGGGUCAUUGGAAACUGGGGAACUUGAGUGCAGAAGAGGCGAGUGGAAUUCCACGUGUAGCGGUGAAAUGCGUAGAGAUGUGGAGGAACACCAGUGGCGAAGGCGACUCUCUGGUCUGUAACUGACGCUGAGGAGCGAAAGCGUGGGGAGCGAACAGGAUUAGAUACCCUGGUAGUCCACGCCGUAAACGAUGAGUGCUAAGUGUUAGGGGGUUUCCGCCCCUUAGUGCUGCAGCUAACGCAUUAAGCACUCCGCCUGGGGAGUACGGUCGCAAGACUGAAACUCAAAGGAAUUGACGGGGGCCCGCACAAGCGGUGCAGCAUGUGGUUUAAUUCGAAGCAACGCGAAGAACCUUACCAGGUCUUGACAUCGUCUGACAAUCCUAGAGAUAGGACGUCCCCUUCGGGGG
rnacentral:rRNA from 1 species